GACGAACGCUGGCGGCGUGCUUAACACAUGCAAGUCGAACGGUGAAGCGCCUUCCUUUUUGGUGGGUGUGGAUGAGUGGCGAACGGGUGAGUAACACGUGAGUAACCUGCCCCCUUCUUCUGGAUAACCGCAUGAAAGUGUGGCUAAUACGGGAUAUUCUGGGUCUGUCGCAUGAUGGGUCUGGGAAAGAUAUUGUUUCGGUGGGGGAUGGGCUCGCGGCCUAUCAGCUUGUUGGUGGGGUGAUGGCCUACCAAGGCGGUGACGGGUAGCCGGCCUGAGGGGGUGGCCGGCAAGAUGGGGACGGGGACCCGGCCCAGAUUCCGAGGGGGGGGGGCAGGGGGGAAUAUGGCACAAGGGGGGAAAGCCGGAUGGAGGGGCGCCGGGGGAGGGAUGGGGGCCUUCGGGUUGUGACCCUCUUUCGCCAGGGAAGCAGGCCUGCUUCUGUGGUGGGGGGGUUGACGGUGGCUGGAAAAGGAGCGCCGGCUAACUACGU
rnacentral:rRNA from 1 species